GGGCCUAUAGCUCAGCUUGGUCAGAGCGCUGGUCUUAUAAGCCAGAGCGCCGGGGUUCAAAUCCCCGUAGGCCCA
rnacentral:tRNA from 1 species